AGAGUUUGAUCAUGGCUCAGAACGAACGCUGGCGGCGUGCCUAACACAUGCAAGUCGAACGGACUUUACCUUCGGGUAGAGUUAGUGGCGCACGGGUGAGUAACGCGUGAAUAUCUACCUAUCAGUGGGGGACAACUACGGGAAACCGUAGCUAAUACCGCAUACGACCUACGGGUGAAAGCGGGGGACCUUCGGGCCUCGCGCUGAUAGAUGAGUCCGCGUCUGAUUAGCUAGUUGGUAGGGUAAUGGCCUACCAAGGCGAUGAUCAGUAACUGGUUUGAGAGGAUGAUCAGUCACACUGGAACUGAGACACGGUCCAGACUCCUACGGGAGGCAGCAGUGGGGAAUUUUGCACAAUGGGCGCAAGCCUGAUGCAGCGACGCCGCGUGCGGGAAGAAGGCCUUCGGGUUGUAAACCGCUUUCAGUUGGGAAGAAGCAAAGAGUAUUAAUAGUGCUCUGCGUUGACGGUACCUUCAGAAGAAGCACCGGCUAAUUUCGUGCCAGCAGCCGCGGUAAUACGAAAGGUGCAAGCGUUGUUCGGAUUUACUGGGCGUAAAGAGAUCGUAGGUGGUUUGUUAAGUCGGAUGUGAAAUCCCGGGGCUCAACCUCGGAACUGCAUUCGAAACUGGCAGACUAGAGUUCGGGAGGGGUAAGCGGAAUUCCGUGUGUAGCAGUGAAAUGCGUAGAUAUACGGAGGAACACCUGAGGCGAAGGCGGCUUACUGGACCGAUACUGACACUGAGGAUCGAAAGCGUGGGUAGCAAACAGGAUUAGAUACCCUAGUAGUCC
rnacentral:rRNA from 1 species